CUGGAAUCAAUCGAUUAAUCGUUAAAAGAUUAUUAUUUUAAUCAAUAACUACAGGUUUAACAACUGUUCAUGAACAAAAAUCAAUUUCGAAAAUACCACUAGACAUUACAGAAAUGCACAAGAGAACUGGUUACCCACUUGACUAUCGCUAAAAACUUUCGCCGUACGUAUGAACAGCUGUCACAUUUAUGCUCACGGUUAAGCCGCCCGCCGGUUAAUCCGUCCCCGGAUAAUCGACGUUCUACUGUAUGUGUCAUUAUUUUGCACUACGACAUAAACAACGUGUAUGUUAUUACCCCGAACUCAUAAAACAUCACGAGGUUCUUAAAAAAAUCAAAGUUUAAUUUCUACAGCACUUUUAUUGCAAAUUACUUGAUUUGAAAUCCUGUGACACAUCGAAGAAGUUCGAACACUCAUUAUUUAAGAAUCAUUGUGAUACUAUUAUGAUAGUUAGGUAAAUAUACUCGUUUCAAUGAGGAUGGUAAAUUUUUACAACAUAUUUUUCAAUUGUUACAAAGGAAUAAUAGUGCUUGAUAAAUAAUGCAGCUUUAGUCAAUCAAAUUAAAGAUUUAUGUUAGUAGAAUAUUUCAAUGUAAAUGUACAAAUAGCGAAUAUGGUGGUGUAAAAAUGGUAUAUUUUAAAGGAACGUUUUUUUAUGGAUAUGCAGUUAUGAAAUUGUAUGGAUGAAAAAUAAAACAUCGAAAAACAUAAUACUAAUCAAUAAAGAAAGAAUUAUGUUGGACUAUCGAAAACAAGGUUAAAUAUGUUCAUUCGAAUCGUUCCGAGGUUUUAGUAAGGCUUGAAAGGAAGAGUAUGAAAUAUGAAUGAGACGGCUAGUUUAUUAGCUAGAUGCUGAAAGGGAUCAAAAACACAUUUCAAGUUUUUCGAGGUUUUACGUCCGUUAGUGAUAUAUGCGAAAAUGGACAAUACACACACGAACAUAAAUACAGUUAUAAACUUAACACUUUGACCGCCGGCCUGACGUCACAGUUUGCGAGUGAGCACGUAGCGCAUGACAAGAGAGCGAUGAGAGCGACAAUUGUUCGUGCGACUAUUAUCACUCUUUUGUUUCAUUUCGAUAAGCGGCGUAGCACAUGUCGUUCUCGUUCUCUCUUUCCCUCAUUCGUUAUCAAGAGAAUUGGUGAGCGUCAGAUACAGAGCUGAGCGGUGAACAAAGCGGUCGUGCGAUUUCAUAUGACGCGGCGCUUAAAGUGUUAACGGAUGCUUUAUUGCUAACCCAAGUAGCAACCGAAGCUUUUUUCUCCCAGUUUCAACCCCCUCAUGUCCACAAACUGCCUUCGCUUACUAUUCCUAUCCCGUUUCUACAUUCCACAACGUUUGUUGCGUUCUCGCUCAUCAGGGUGUUAGUCAAUUCUCUCUUGCCACACGAAGAGAAUUCUCCUGCACACUUCGUGUGUUGGAUUCUACCCAUCCCUGUUGAACAUACGUCAUUUUCUUCCAUCGCACUCAUCAGGGUGUUUGCUCUUUUCCAUCCAAGCCAAAGAGCGACUUCAGUGUGCUCUGAACCGUGGAUGUGAGAGUGUGUGUUUGUGUGCUGCGUGAACUAUUUUUCCUGCGUGAAACACUUUCCAUACUGCGCCAUCCGCGGUGUUCUUUCUGCUUCAUCGGAGGACGAAUUUUUAUCAUCUAAUUGUUUGGCUUCAGAUGUGUGCUGCUACCGCUAGCUGUUCCUCAAACUACUUAAAAAGUGUGACACUGUGUGCACAGGCGUUCAAGUUUCAAUUGAUCCUCAAGCACAAAGCCUUCAUACAACACCGCGGUUGAGGCGCGCCAAAUCUGAUGACAUCUUUCCUGAACCAAGCAGGCUGAACACGCGCACCACCACGGGCUCCAGCGCGGUGUGAAGAGGGAAGAAGAAAAGGCAGAAUUGGAAACAGCCGCACCAGGCUUCCAACCACCGUGUGUGUGUAUGUAAGUAUGUGAGAACACAUGUGUGAAUCCUCUUGUGGGAACUGCAAAAAGAAGAGAAUAAAGAGUGUGAAGCAGCUAGACUGCCGCAACCAAA